AGAUUAAGUUAUUAAGGGCGCACGGUGGAUGCCUUGGCACUAGAAGCCGAUGAAGGACGUUACUAACGACGAUAUGCUUUGGGGAGCUGUAAGUAAGCUUUGAUCCAGAGAUUUCCGAAUGGGGAAACCCAGCAUGAGUUAUGUCAUGUUAUCGAUAUGUGAAUACAUAGCAUAUCAGAAGGCACACCCGGAGAACUGAAACAUCUUAGUACCCGGAGGAAGAGAAAGAAAAUUCGAUUCCCUUAGUAGCGGCGAGCGAAACGGGAAGAGCCCAAACCAAAAAGCUUGCUUGUUGGGGUUGUAGGACACUCUAUACGGAGUUACAAAGGACGACAUUAGACGAAUCAUCUGGAAAGAUGAAUCAAAGAAGGUAAUAAUCCUGUAGUCGAAAAUGUUGUCUCUCUUGAGUGGAUCCUGAGUACGACGGAGCACGUGAAAUUCCGUCGGAAUCUGGGAGGACCAUCUCCUAAGGCUAAAUACUCUCUAGUGACCGAUAGUGAACCAGUACCGUGAGGGAAAGGUGAAAAGCACCCCGGAAGGGGAGUGAAAUAGAACCUGAAACCGUGUGCUUACAAGUAGUCAGAGCCCGUUAAUGGGUGAUGGCGUGCCUUUUGUAGAAUGAACCGGCGAGUUACGAUUUGAUGCAAGGUUAAGCAGUAAAUGUGGAGCCGUAGCGAAAGCGAGUCUGAAUAGGGCGUUUAGUAUUUGGUCGUAGACCCGAAACCAGGUGAUCUACCCUUGGUCAGGUUGAAGUUCAGGUAACACUGAAUGGAGGACCGAACCGACUUACGUUGAAAAGUGAGCGGAUGAACUGAGGGUAGCGGAGAAAUUCCAAUCGAACCUGGAGAUAGCUGGUUCUCUCCGAAAUAGCUUUAGGGCUAGCCUCAAGUGAUGAUUAUUGGAGGUAGAGCACUGUUUGGACGAGGGGCCCCUCUCGGGUUACCGAAUUCAGACAAACUCCGAAUGCCAAUUAAUUUAACUUGGGAGUCAGAACAUGGGUGAUAAGGUCCGUGUUCGAAAGGGAAACAGCCCAGACCACCAGCUAAGGUCCCAAAAUAUAUGUUAAGUGGAAAAGGAUGUGGCGUUGCCCAGACAACUAGGAUGUUGGCUUAGAAGCAGCCAUCAUUUAAAGAGUGCGUAAUAGCUCACUAGUCGAGUGACACUGCGCCGAAAAUGUACCGGGGCUAAACAUAUUACCGAAGCUGUGGAUUGUCCUUUGGACAAUGGUAGGAGAGCGUUCUAAGGGCGUUGAAGCAUGAUCGUAAGGACAUGUGGAGCGCUUAGAAGUGAGAAUGCCGGUGUGAGUAGCGAAAGACGGGUGAGAAUCCCGUCCACCGAUUGACUAAGGUUUCCAGAGGAAGGCUCGUCCGCUCUGGGUUAGUCGGGUCCUAAGCUGAGGCCGACAGGCGUAGGCGAUGGAUAACAGGUUGAUAUUCCUGUACCACCUAUAAUCGUUUUAAUCGAUGGGGGGACGCAGUAGGAUAGGCGAAGCGUGCGAUUGGAUUGCACGUCUAAGCAGUAAGGCUGAGUAUUAGGCAAAUCCGGUACUCGUUAAGGCUGAGCUGUGAUGGGGAGAAGACAUUG
rnacentral:rRNA from 1 species